UACGUAGGCAGCGAGCGUUGUUCGGAGUUACUGGGCGUAAAGGGUGUGUAGGCGGUUGUUUAAGUUUGGUGUGAAAUCUCCCGGCUCAACUGGGAGGGUGCGCCGAAUACUGAAUGACUUGGAGUGCGGGAGAGGAGAGUGGAAUUCCUGGUGUAGCGGUGAAAUGCGUAGAGAUCCGGAAGAACACCGGUGGCGAAGGCGGCCCGCUGGGCAGGAAGGCUCGCAAGAGCCGGCUGACGCUGAGGCGCGACAGCGUGGGGAGCAAACAGG
rnacentral:rRNA from 1 species